GGAGGUAUAGCUCAGUGGUAGAGUGUGUGCUUAGCAUGUAGAAGGUCCUGGGUUCAAUCCUCAGUACCUCCA
rnacentral:tRNA from 1 species